AAGGAGCAUUCUCCAAUCCAAUGUCCACACAGGUGGAUGGUUGGUUGGCAGAGCCUGUUUCGGACCCACUUGUGGUCCGGCAGGAGCUCAUGGGUGGACGCUGACAAACUUCCUCGCAUUACGUCAGAUCACAUGAUCUGCCGGCGAGUGCAAUAUAUCGACAUACUGUUGGGUCCUGAGAGAACACGUGAGUGUUUCCUCUCUAGGAAGUAACGACAAAUAACUGCAAGUUGUCAUACCGCUCCACUGUGGUGGGUGUUGGUGUCAACGUGAAUGUGGUUGUUUGUGUGUUGUUUGAGAACUGCACAGUGGACGCGAGCAUCUUUGUU
rnacentral:misc_RNA from 1 species